rnacentral:rRNA from 1 species
CAGCCGCGGUAAUUCCAGCUCCAAUAGCGUAUAUUAAAGUUGUUGCAGUUAAAAAGCUCGUAGUUGAAUUUCGGGAUCAAUAUUUCGGUCAUGCCGUUGGUAUGCACUGUUAUCAUUGAUUUCUCACCUUCUAAAGAACCGUAAUGCCAUUAAUUUGGUGUUACGGGGAAUUAGGACUGUUACCUUGAAAAAAUUAGAGUGUUUAAAGCAGGCUCACGCUUGAAUACAUUAGCAUGGAAUAAUGAAAUAGGACAUCCGAUUCUAUUUUGUUGGUUUCUAGGAUCGAUGUAAUGAUUAAUAGGGAUAGUUGGGGGCAUUAGUAUUCAAUUGUCAGAGGUGAAAUUCUUGGAUUUAUUGAAGACUAACUACUGCGAAAGCAUUUGCCAAGGAUGUUUUCAUUAAUCAAGAACGAAAGUUAGGGAUCGAAGACGAUCAGAUACCGUCGUAGUCUUAACCUUAACCAUAAACUAUGCCGACUAGGGGAUCGGAUGAUGUUAAUUUUUAUAAUGACUCAUUUGGCACCUUACGGGAAAC